AAAUUGAAGAGUUUGAUCAUGGCUCAGAUUGAACGCUGGCGGCAGGCCUAACACAUGCAAGUCGAACGGUAACAGGAAGCAGCUUGCUGCUUCGCUGACAAGUGGCGGACGGGUGAGUAAUGUCUGGGAAACUGCCUGAUGGAGGGGGAUAACUACUGGAAACGGUGGCUAAUACCGCAUGACGUCGCAAGACCAAAGAGGGGGACCUUCGGGCCUCUUGCCAUCAGAUGUGCCCAGAUGGGAUUAGCUUGUUGGUGAGGUAACGGCUCACCAAGGCGACGAUCCCUAGCUGGU
rnacentral:rRNA from 1 species